UACGAGGGGAGCUAGCGUUGUUCGGAAUUACUGGGCGUAAAGGGCGUGUAGGCGGUACCAUAAGUCAGAUGUGAAAGCCCUAGGCUUAACCUAGGAGGUGCAUUUGAUACUGUGGAACUAGAGAUCGAGAGAGGUAAGUGGAAUUACGAGUGUAGAGGUGAAAUUCGUAGAUAUUCGUAAGAACACCAGUGGCGAAGGCGGCCAACUGGACCACAACUGACGCUGAGGAGCGAAAGCCAGGGGAGCAAACGGG
rnacentral:rRNA from 1 species